rnacentral:rRNA from 1 species
AGCGAACGCUGGCGGCAGGCCUAACACAUGCAAGUCGAACGGAUCCUUCGGGAUUAGUGGCGGACGGGUGAGUAACACGUGGGAACGUGCCCUUUGGUUCGGAACAACUCAGGGAAACCUGAGCUAAUACCGGAUGUGCCCUUCGGGGGAAAGAUUUAUCGCCAUUGGAGCGGCCCGCGUCUGAUUAGCUAGUUGGUGAGGUAAAGGCUCACCAAGGCGACGAUCAGUAGCUGGUCUGAGAGGAUGAUCAGCCACAUUGGGACUGAGACACGGCCCAAACUCCUACGGGAGGCAGCAGUGGGGAAACUUGCGCAAUGGGCGAAAGCCUGACGCAGCCAUGCCGCGUGAAUGAUGAAGGUCUUAGGAUUGUAAAAUUCUUUCACCGGGGACGAUAAUGACGGUACCCGGAGAAGAAGCCCCGGCUAACUUCGUGCCAGCCGCCGCAGUAA